UUCUGCUGCAGAGACAUUUGGCUGCGUGUGUGUGUGCAUGUGUGGCAGCAAUUUGCCUUUGCAUUCUGAUGCCCCUUUGCCUCCUUUUCCCCCAUUCAAAAAUGCCAGCUCCCUGCAUCCCCUGUGUGCUGUGACAACACUGCUCUGUGUCAGCCAGUACCGUACCUAUGGAACUGUGACACAGUGACACGAGCUCUCUUGCUCUCUCUCCCCAGCCCUGGUGAGAGACUUUAAGAUGCCAGUGAUGCCACAAUGCGGAACAUGUUGGUUCUACAACAGCUUUGAAGAAGAAGAGGAUACCUUCCAGUAGUUACAGAUGCGCACCUGCUGUCUGGACCUCUGAAUGCUCGGCUAUGAAAUGCUAACUGACAUGUACUCCUGAGGUGCUGACCUGUUGCACCCUCUAAAACAGGGGUACGCAAACUUUUUGGCUCGAGGGCCACAUCGGGAUUUUGAUAUUCAACGCAGGGCCUCCCGAGUGGCGCAGUGGUCUAAGGCACUGCAUCUAGUGCUUGAGGUGUCAUUACAGACCCGCCGGGUUCGAUCCCAGGCUGUGUCACAGCUGACCGUGACUGGAAGACCAAUGAGGUGGCGCACAAUUGGCCCAGCAUCGUCCGUGUUAGGAGAUUUCCUUAGGAUAUUUUCUUUAGACAAGAUUUCCUUGUCCCAUUGUGCUCUAGCGACUCCUGUGCCAGGCUGGGCGCAUGCACGCUGACACGGUUGCCAGGUGUAUGGUGUUUCCUCCGACACAUUGGUGCGGCUGGCUUUCGGGUUAAGUGGGCAUUGUGUCAAGAAGCAGUGCGGCUUGGCUGGGUCAUGUUUCGGAGGACGCCUCUCGCCUCUCCCGAGGCCGUACGGGAGUUGCAGCGAUAGGACAAGCCUGUAACUACCAAUUGGAUACCAUUAAAUUGGGGAGUAAAACGGGUUAUGUCUCGCUGGCCGGAUUGAAGUUCCCAGUGGGCCGUACUCCCCCCCCCCCCCUUGCUCUACAACCACUAUGCUUAAUAUUUGAACCUGCUGGUCAUCUAUGAACAUUUGAAUAUCUUGACGAGCGAUCUGGCCUUAAUGGCCAUGUCUUGGCCAUGGCUGGAUAUAAACAGUGUAGUUAUUUCCUUUGAGGAUAAUACAGUGCCACUGUCGCAGGUCGCUAACAAAGACUGCGCCCCCCUCUAGAUCUCAGUGGCUGACGUGACUAAAACAUUUAAACUUGCUAACCCUCGCAAGGCUGCUGGCCCAGACGGCAUCCAUAGCCGCGUCCUCAGAGCAUGCGCAGACCAGCAGGCUGGUGUGUUUACAGACAAAUUGAAUCUCUCCCUAUCCCAGUCUGUUGUCCCCACAUGCUUCAAGAUGGCUACCAUUGUUCCUGUACCCAAGAAGGCAAAGAUAACUGAACUAAAUGCUGCCCCGUAGCACUCACUUCUGUCAUCAUGAAGUGCUUUGAGAGGCUAGUCAAGGAUCAUAUCACCGCCACCUUACCGGCCACCCUAGACCCACUUCAGUUUGCAUACCACCCCAACAGGUCCACAGAUGACGCAAUCACCAUCACACUGCACACUGCCCUAUCCCAUCUGGACAAAAAUAAUAUCUAUGUAAGAAUGCUGUUCAUUGACUACAGCUCAGCAUUCAACACCAUAGUACUCUCCAAGCUCAUCAUCAAGCUGGAGGCCCUGGGUCUCAACCCCUCCUUGUGCAACUGGGUCUUGGACUUUCUGACGGGCCGCCCACAGGGGUUGAUGGUAGGAAACAACAUUUCCACUUUGCUAACCCUCAACAUUGGGGCACCACAAGGGUGUGUGCUCAGCUCUCUCCUGUACUCCCUGUUCACGCACGACUGCAUGGCCAUGCACACUUCCAACUCAACCAUCAAGUUUGCAGACGACACAACAGUAAUGGGCUUGAUCACCAAUGACGAGACAGCCUACAGGGAGGAGGUGAGGGCACAGGGAGGAGGUGAGGGCACUCGGAGUGUGGUGUUAGGAAAACAACCUCUCACUCAACAUCAACAGAACAAAGGAAAUGAUCGUGGCUUUCAGGAAACAGCAGAGGGAGCACCCCCACUAUCCACAUCAAAGGGACAGCAGUGGAGAAGGUGGAAAGUUUUAAGUUCCUGGGCGUACACAUCAUAGACAAACUGAAAUGGUCCACCCACACAGACAGUGUGGUGAAGAAGGCGCUACAGCGCCUCUUCAACCUCAGGAGGCUGAAGAAAUUUGGCCUGUCACCCAAAACCCUGACAAACUUUUACAGAUGCAUAAUCGAGAGCAUCCUGUGCAACUGCACCGCCCUCAACCGCAAGGCUCUCCAGAGGGUAGUGCGGUCUGCACAACGCAUCACCGGGGGCAAACUACCUGCCCUCCAUGACACCUACAGCACCCGAUGUCACAGGAAGGCCAUAAAGAUCAUCAAGGACAACAACCACCGAAGCCACUGCCUGUUCACACCAUUCUCAUCCAGAAGAGGAUCUGAGCCCUAGGACCAUGCCUCAGGACUACCUGGCCUGAUGACUCCUAGCUGUCCCCAGUCCACCUGGUUGUGCUGCUGCUCCAGUUUAAAUUGUUAUGGCUACUAUGGAACCCUGACCUGUUCACCAGACGUGCUACUUUUUCCCGGACCUGCUGUUUUCGACUCUCUCUCUCUCAAUCGCACCUGCUGUCUUGACCUCUAUGAAAAGCCAACUGACAUUUACUCUUAUACUCUCCACCCGGCACAGCCAGAAGAGGACUGGCAACCCUAAGAGCCUGGUUCCUCUCUAGGUUUUUUCCUAGGUUACUGCCUUUCCUAGGGAGUUUUUCCUAGCCACUGUGCUUCUACAUCUGCAUUGCUUGCUGUUCGGGGUUUUAGGCUGGGUUUCUGAAAAGCAUUUUGGGACAUAUGCUGAUGUAAAAAGAGCUUUAUAAAUACAUUUGAAUGAUUGAUUGAAAAGGAAGCCUGAACAGAAAAAAUAUAUUCCAAAACAUGCAUCCUGUUUGCAAGAAGGCACUAAAGUAAAACUGCAAAAUAAUGUAGCAAAGAAAUUAACUUAAUGUACUGAAUACAAAGCGUUAUGUUUGGGCACAUACAACACAUCACUGAGUACCACUCUUCAUAUUUUCAAGCAUGGUGUUGGCUGCAUCAUGUUAUGGGUAUGCUUGUCGGGCCAGGACAAGCAUAAAAAUCUACUAAAUAGAGCUUAAUCACAGGCAAAAUCCGAGAGGAAAACCUGGUUGAGUCUGCUUUCAACAGACACUGGGAGACAAAUUCACCUUUCAGCAAGACAAUAACCUAAAACACAAGGCCAAAUAUACACUGGAGUUGCUUACCAAGACAACAUUGAAUAUUCCUGAGUGGCCUAGUAACAGUUUUGACUUAAAUGGACUUGAAAAUGGUUGUCUAGCAAUGAUCAACGAACAAUUUGACAGAGCUUUAAUCAUUUUUGUUAUAAUAAUGGGGAAAUAUUGUACAAUGCAGGUGUGCAAAGCUCUUGGAGACAUACCCAGAAAGACUCACAGCUGUAAUCGCUGCCAAAGGUGAUUCUAACAUGUAUUGACUCAGGGGUGUGAAUACUUAUGUAAAUUAGAUAUUUCAGUAUUUCCGUUUCAAUACAUUUGCAAAUAUUUCUAAAAACAUGUUUUCACUUUGUCAUUACGGGGUAUUGUGUGUAUAUGGGUGAGAACUAAAUAUAUUUAAUACAUUUUGAUGUGGAAUAAGUCAAGGGGUAUGAAUACUUUCUGAAGGCACUGUAGUCCUAUCUCUCUGACCAUUCUUAGCCUGUAAUUUCGGUAAUUUGUGUGGUAUUAAAAAAUAUUGUGCCAAUAUGUAAAACGAUGUAGAAUUGCAUGAAAUACCUGCAAAUAUGAUGAUAGAUUCAUGCGAUGCUUUUACUAUAAGGUAGAUAUUUCCUACUCUUGUCCACGGUGGUCUGUGAACCAAAUAAAAGGAUGUCGAUAGAAA